rnacentral:rRNA from 1 species
AGUGAACGCUGGCGGUAGGCCUAACACAUGCAAGUCGAACGGCGGCACAGUAAGAGCUUGCUCUUACGGGUGGCGAGUGGCGGACGGGUGAGGAAUACAUCGGAAUCUACUUUUUCGUGGGGGAUAACGUAGGGAAACUUACGCUAAUACCGCAUACGACCUACGGGUGAAAGCAGGGGAUCUUCGGACCUUGCGCGAUUGAAUGAGCCGAUGUCGGAUUAGCUAGUUGGCGGGGUAAGGGCCCACCAAGGCGACGAUCCGUAGCUGGUCUGAGAGGAUGAUCAGCCACACUGGAACUGAGACACGGUCCAGACUCCUACGGGAGGCAGCAGUGGGGAAUAUUGGACAAUGGGCGCAAGCCUGAUCCAGCCAUACCGCGUGGGUGAAGAAGGCCUUCGGGUUGUAAAGCCCUUUUGUUGGGAAAGAAAAGCAGCAGGUUAAUACCCCGCUGUUCUGACGGUACCCAAAGAAUAAGCACCGGCUAACUUCGUG